AGAGUUUGAUCAUGGCUCAGAACGAACGCUGGCGGCAUGCCUAACACAUGCAAGUCGAACGGGAUCCAGACUUCGGUCUGGUGAGAGUGGCGGACGGGUGAGUAACGCGUGGGAACCUGCCCAAUGGUCUGGGAUAACCGCGGGAAACUGCGGCUAAUACCGGAUAAGCCCGAGAGGGGAAAGAUUUAUCGCCGAUGGAGGGGCCCGCGUCCGAUUAGGGUAGUUGGUGAGGUAACGGCUCACCAAGCCGACGAUCGGUAGCUGGUCUGAGAGGAUGAUCAGCCACACUGGGACUGAGAUACGGCCCAGACUCCUACGGGAGGCAGCAGUGGGGAAUAUUGGACAAUGGGGGCAACCCUGAUCCAGCAAUGCCGCGUGAGUGAUGAAGGCCUUAGGGUUGUAAAGCUCUUUUGGCGGGGACGAUGAUGACGGUACCCGCAGAAUAAGCCCCGGCUAACUUCGUGCCAGCAGCCGCGGUAAUACGAAGGGGGCGAGCGUUGUUCGGAAUUACUGGGCGUAAAGGGCGCGUAGGCGGCGACUCAAGUUAGAUGUGAAAGUCCUGGGCUUAACCUGGGGACUGCAUUUGAUACUGGGUUGCUUGAAUUCGGGAGAGGAUAGCGGAAUUCCCAGUGUAGAGGUGAAAUUCGUAGAUAUUGGGAAGAACACCGGUGGCGAAGGCGGCUAUCUGGACCGACAUUGACGCUGAGGCGCGAAAGCGUGGGGAGCAAACAGGAUUAGAUACCCUAGUAGUCC
rnacentral:rRNA from 1 species